UCUUGCAUUUGACCCACGGGCGACUUUGGGGCCCCCACACGGACACGUUCUCAAGAUGUCACGACCUGUAGUGAAAUUCUAAUCAUCCCUUCGCGGCCACCAUUGAUUGAGCGCUUGCUGUGUGUAUGGCCUCUGCACGGCAAAGCCCUGGAGAGCCACAGGAGGGGCUCAUGGAGGCCCCCCUGCGCUCAGCGAAGAUUCUCCUCACCAGCCCGAGAAACAGGCAUGCCCAACUCUGCUUUACGGAUGAGGAAAGAAAGGCCCCGGGCAGGCAGAGAUGUUCGUGAGGGCACACACGGUGGGGCCCUGGGAGGAUGGGGCUGCGGAUCCCACCGUGCGCAGCUGAGGCUGCUGAGGAGGGGGUCCCCGAGGAGCCGUCUGGGUUGGGGGUGAAUGCCACCACUUCCAAAAGAGGCCGAAGUGCAGGAAGAGGCCUUGCAGAUCCCUGGAUCCACUCCACAGAUGGGGAAAUCAAGUCCCAAGAGGGCCAGGGACUUGCUUGAGGACACACAGGGCUUUCGGGAGCCCAAACCUGUUUUCUGAAAGGAGACUUGACCAGCACCCCCACCCCCAUGGAAUCACAUGACUGUAGCUUACUUUUCCCUGGUUUGUUAAUGAAGGUGUAAGCUCAACAUUCACUGCCGUGUGAGGAUCACCCAAAUCAAGAUAGGGGACAUGUGUGCUUCCCUCAGCCUCUUCCAGGCAGUGCCCCACCCCUGGAGGUAACCACUCUCCUGGACUUCUAGCAUCAUUGCCUAACUCGCUUUUUCUAGAACUCCGUGUAAACAGAAUCGUAUAGUAUGUACUUUAGUGUGCCGUUUCUUCUGGUCAACACUUCACCUGUGAGAUUCAUCCGUGUCGUUGCUUCUUUGUCAUCACUGAAUAGUCUUGUCGUGUGCUUACACCAGGGUCGAUGUAUCUACCACCUGUGGAUGGGCCUUUGGGCUGUGUCUGGGUUUGCCUGCCGUGGACCAUCUGGAGCACUCUGUUGGGGUCUGUAGCAUAGACCCCUCUUGGGCGGCCCAGGAGUGGAUUGUGGGGUCUCAGUAGCUGUACCUUGAGUUUUAUGAGAUGUUGCCAGGUCUUCUUCCAGAGUGGUUGUCCCGUUUUACACUCAGCACUGUGGCCGACCCCGUUGAGUGGCAAGUUCGGUGAUGUCGGUCUCUCAGUCUUGUUCAUUUUUGCUGUUCUGAUGGGCGUGAAGUGGUCUCUCGCUGGCUUUGGUUUGCGUUUGCCUGAUGACUGAUGAUAUUAGCCUUUUUCAGUUGCUCCUUGGCCGUUUGGAUAUCCACUUUUGUGAAGAGCCUGUGUGUGUGUUGUAUCACGGAGUCUGGAAACAAAACAAGGCUGAGGAGUGAGUCACUAUAUACAAGGAGACAGACAAGGAUCCUGAGGUCAGAGGGGGCCUUGACCUCAGCUGAGUCAGGGCUGGCUACAAUCCUGAGCAAGCAAGAUGUGACCUUGUGUGUGUCUCAGAUGACUUCUCUGUGUCCCAAGAACUUGAGUAGGGUGGGGAGGCCAGAGCAAGUUACUGGAAAUUCCAUGAACAUGCCAUGCUGUUUCCCGCUCUGGGCCUUUGCAUGUGCUAUUGCCCACACAUCGCCUCCUCUGGGGAGCCCUCACUGAUGCUCCCCAGCCGGCCUGGGUCCAGGGGAGAUUCCUCUCUGAAGAAGUCCCUGGCAGGGCCCCGUGCACACCAGGCCCAGCACAAGAGGCCAGGUUCCUCCCUGUUUUUGACUCUCUUCUUUCUCUCCUACGUUUAAAUGUCUACUAGCUUGUUGAGGUCUUUAAACCUUGUAGAAAUCCUUUGUGGAACAAGGCAGUGGGUCAACACAAGAAUAAAGCAAGCAAUUAAUGUUUGCUGAGUUGAAUGGACUUGCUCUAUCUUUCGACCCCAAAGCAUGCUGGUCCUAGAGGAGACCUUGGGGAGGGGUUGCUGAAUGAAUGUGUGAUCCCUGAGGCAAGAAAGAAAAGCUGGGUCCCAGCAGCCUUGGUAGAUGGGCACUAAGUGCUAAAAGCUCCUGUGGCCGGGGCGCAUGUCUCCAUGUGGAGACCCGUCAUUUGUAUGCAGGAUAUCAUUUAUCAGUCAGUCGUUACCUCAUCUAGCAAACAUGUAUUGAGCUCUGCCCCUGUGCUGGUCACUGGUCUAGAGCACACACCAGUGAAGAAGACAGUCCCGUUCCCUGCCCUUCAGGAACUUCCAUUCUAGGGGAGGGAGAGACAAUAAGCAAAGAGGGAAAUAAAUACAUGCUCCAUCUCACGGAGAUAAGGGCCCCGGAGAGAGAUUCAGCGGGGAGGGGGGCUGAGCUUUCGAGGGUUUCGGACAGGGUGGCCAGGCAGACCUCAAAUGACUUGGGUUCUUUUUAUGGGAAGCUUGAAGGAGGUGAGGGAAUGGGGCAAGAGAUGUCGGGGAAGAGCAGUCCAGGCAGAGAGAAGAGCCAGUGCAAAGGCCCUGAGGUGUGUUUAAAAAGCACACUGAGGCCACUGUGGCUGGGGCUAAGUGAGCCAGGGCAGAGGGGAGAGGCUGAGGGGCCCAAGGGCAGAUCAAGCGGCCUUGCUGGCCACAGUGGGGCCUUCAGCUUUUAGUCCGAGCCAGGAGGAGCCAUGGGAGGGUUUCAAGCCGACUAGUGACACAACCUUAGGUUUUUUUUUCACAGUGGAAAAUUUCAAACAUGUAUGUAAAUAGAAUAAUAAAAUGAAGCCCAGUGUACCCAUCA